UUAGAAUGUUUCAUAAUAAUCACUUUGAUUUGUGUUUUGUCUAGAAUCUCUUCUUUCUUGCUUCUGGGGCCUUCUUAUUUGCUGAUCUCGAAAUCUCAAACUGCAGAAUGUCUAUUUGAAAUUGCAGAAUGGUUGAAUCAUUCAUAGCAAAGUCAUUGAAAAGCUAUAUAUUUCUUGGUCUAAAGCAUUGUUCUUUUACAUGGAACUCCAGGGACUAGAAAAACCGCUUUAUGU